AUCUGCCUAUUAGUGGGGGACAACAUCUCGAAAGGGAUGCUAAUACCGCAUACGUCCUAGGGAGAAAGCAGGGGAUCUUCGGACCUUGCGCUAAUAGAUGAGCCUAAGUCGGAUUAGCUAGUUGGUGGGGUAAAGGCCUACCAAGGCGACGAUCUGUAGCGGGUCUGAGAGGAUGAUCCGCCACACUGGGACUGAGACACGGCCCAGACUCCUACGGGAGGCAGCAGUGGGGAAUAUUGGACAAUGGGGGGAACCCUGAUCCAGCCAUGCCGCGUGUGUGAAGAAGGCCUUAUGGUUGUAAAGCACUUUAAGCGAGGAGGAGGCUCUCUAGUUAAUACCUAGGAUAGUGGACGUUACUCGCAGAAUAAGCACCGGCUAACUCUGUGCCAGCAGCCGCGGUAAUACAGAGGGUGCGAGCGUUAAUCGGAUUUACUGGGCGUAAAGCGUGCGUAGGCGGCUUAUUAAGUCGGAUGUGAAAUCCCCGAGCUUAACUUGGGAAUUGCAUUCGAUACUGGUGAGCUAGAGUAUGGGAGAGGAUGGUAGAAUUCCAGGUGUAGCGGUGAAAUGCGUAGAGAUCUGGAGGAAUACCGAUGGCGAAGGCAGCCAUCUGGCCUAAUACUGACGCUGAGGUACGAAAGCAUGGGGAGCAAACAGGAUUAGAUACCCUGGUAGUCCAUGCCGUAAACGAUGUCUACUAGCCGUUGGGGCCUUUGAGGCUUUAGUGGCGCAGCUAACGCGAUAAGUAGACCGCCUGGGGAGUACGGUCGCAAGACUAAAACUCAAAUGAAUUGACGGGGGCCCGCACAAGCGGUGGAGCAUGUGGUUUAAUUCGAUGCAACGCGAAGAACCUUACCUGGCCUUGACAUACUAGAAACUUUCCAGAGAUGGAUUGGUGCCUUCGGGAAUCUAAUACAGGUGCUGCAUGGCUGUCGUCAGCUCGUGUCGUGAGAUGUUGGGUUAAGUCCCGCAACGAGCGCA
rnacentral:rRNA from 1 species